rnacentral:rRNA from 1 species
CAAUAGCGUAUAUUUAAGUUGUUGCAGUUAAAAAGCUCGUAGUUGGAUUUCGGGUGGGACGCAGCGGUCUCGCAUUGCGUUUGUACUGCUGCAGCCCUCCUUCUUGCCGGGGGCGGCCUCUCGGACUUCACUGUCUGGGGGUCAGAAUCAGCGAUGUUACUUUGAGUAAAUUAGAGUGUUCAAAGCAAGCUUACGCUCUGAAUAUAAUAGCAUGGGAUAACACGACAGGACUCUGGCCUAUCGUGUUGGUCUAUAGGACCAGAGUAAUGAUUAAGAGGGACAGUCGGGGGCAUUCGUAUUCCGUUGUCAGAGGUGAAAUUCUUGGAUUUACGGAAGACGAACAUCUGCGAAAGCAUUUGCCAAGGAUGUUUNCAUUGA